rnacentral:rRNA from 1 species
UUCCCCUUCGGGGGACAGGGUGACAGGUGGUGCAUGGUUGUCGGUCAGCUCGUGUCGUGAGAUGUUGGGUUAAGUCCCGCAACGAGCGCAACCCUCGACCUUAGUUGCCAGCAUUCAGUUGGGCACUCUAAGGUGACUGCCGGCUAAAAAGUCGGAGGAAGGUGGGGAUGACGUCAAAUCAUCAUGCCCCUUAUGACCUGGGCUACACACGUGCUACAAUGGGCGGUACAAAGGGUCGCGAACCCGCGAGGGGGAGCCAAUCCCAAAAAGCCGCUCUCAGUUCGGAUUGCAGGCUGCAACUCGCCUGCAUGAAGCCGGAAUCGCUAGUAAUCGCGGAUCAGCAUGCCGCGGUGAAUACGUUCCCGGGCCUU